UUUCGGGUCCUGUGCAACGGUCCCCUCGAAUCAUGUCAGGUCCGGAAGGAAGCAGCAUUAAGAGGUAUCGAUCGUGUGCCGCAGGGUGCCCGGAACCU
rnacentral:SRP_RNA from 1 species